rnacentral:rRNA from 1 species
AUUGAACGCUGGCGGCAGGCUUAACACAUGCAAGUCGAGCGGUAGCACAGGGGAGCUUGCUCCCUGGGUGACGAGCGGCGGACGGGUGUGUAAUGUCUGGGAAACUGCCUGAUGGAGGGGGAUAACUACUGGAAACGGUAGCUAAUACCGCAUAACGUCGCAAGACCAAAGAGGGGGACCUUCGGGCCUCUUGCCAUCAGAUGUGCCCAGAUGGGAUUAGCUAGUAGGUGGGGUAAUGGCUCACCUAGGCGACGAUCCCUAGCUGGUCUGAGAGGAUGACCAGCCACACUGGAACUGAGACACGGUCCAGACUCCUACGGGAGGCAGCAGUGGGGAAUAUUGCACAAUGGGCGCAAGCCUGAUGCAGCCAUGCCGCGUGUGUGAAGAAGGCCUUCGGGUUGUAAAGCACUUUCAGCGAGGAGGAAGGUGGUGAGCUUAAUACGUUCAUCAAUUGACGUUACUCGCAGAAGAAGCACCGGCUAACACCGUG